rnacentral:rRNA from 1 species
CCUACGGGGCGCAGCAGUGGGGGAUAUUGCACAAUGGGGGGAACCCUGAUGCAGCGACGCCGCGUGGGUGAAGAAGCGCCUCGGCGCGUAAAGCCCUGUCAGCAGGGAAGAAAAUGACGGUACCUGAAGAAGAAGCCCCGGCUAACUACGUGCCAGCAGCCGCGGUAAUACGUAGGGGGCAAGCGUUAUCCGGAUUUACUGGGUGGAAAGGGGGCGCAGACGGCGAUGCAAGCCAGGAGUGAAAGCCCGGGGCCCAACCCCGGGACUGCUCUUGGAACUGCGUGGCUGGAGUGCAGGAGGGGCAGGCGGAAUUCCUGGUGUAGCGGUGAAAUGCGUAGAUAUCAGGAGGAACACCGGUGGCGAAGGUGGCCUGCUGGACUGCAACUGACGUUGAGGCCCGAAAGCGUGGGGAGCAAACAGGAUUAGAUACCCCUGUAGUC